rnacentral:pre_miRNA from 10 species
CCCGGCCUCUCCCAAUCCUUGUACCAGUGUCGUGGUGUCGGCCGACGCUGGGCAGGCUUUGGGGGGCGCCGAGCGGA